CAGGUAGAUGGCCCGGUAAGUUAGUAGUGAAAUCCACAAGCUCAACUUGUGUGCUGCUAUUAAGACUGCCGGGAUAGAGGAAAAAAGAGGAAAAUGGAAUUUCUAGUGGAGAGGUAAAAUUCGUAGAUAUUAGAAGGAACACCAGAGGCGAAGGCGAUUUUCUAUUUUUUUUCUGACAUUGAGCUGCGAAAGCGUGGGGAGCAAACA
rnacentral:rRNA from 1 species